CAAAAGGACCAUUUGUGAUGUUUAUGGGACAUACUGGAGUGCCAACAGAAGAAGUUAUUCAAAGACCUGACACCAACAUCUGCAGUAUAAAACCUGAACAGACAACAUCACAUUUUUGUACCCCAAACACCAACUACCAAAAAU